rnacentral:rRNA from 1 species
AGAGUUUGAUUCCUGGCUCAGGAUGAACGCUAGCGGCAAGCCUAACACAUGCAAGUCGAACGGUAACUUUUGGUGCUUGCACCGAAAGACGAGUGGCGAACGGGUGCGUAACGCGUAUGCAAUCUACCUUUUACUAGGGUAUAGCCCAGAGAAAUUUGGAUUAAUCCCCUAUAAUAUCAUUUAAUCGCAUGAUUUUAUGAUUAAAGCUUUGGCGGUGAAAGAUGAGCAUGCGUCCUAUUAGUUAGUAGGUGAGGUAACGGCUCACCUAGACUUCGAUAGGUAGGGGUCCUGAGAGGGAGAUCCCCCACACUGGUACUGAGACACGGACCAGACUCCUACGGGAGGCAGCAGUGAGGAAUAUUAGACAAUGGACGAAAGUCUGAUCUAGCUAUGCCGCGUGCAGGAUGACGGCCCUAUGGGUUGUAAACUGCUUUUAUACAGGAAGAAAAACUUCGACGUGUCGGAACUUGACGGUACUGGAAGAAUAAGGGUCGGCUUACUCCGUGGCAGCAGCCGCGGUAAUACGGAGGAUCCAAGCGUUAUCCGGAAUCAUUGGGUUUAAAGGGUCCGUAGGCGGUUUUUUAAGUCAGAGGUGAAAUCCUGCAGCUCAACUGUAGAAUUGCCUUUGAUACUGAAAGACUUGAGUUAUUGUGAAGUGGUUAGAAUGUGUGGUGUAGCGGUGAAAUGCAUAGAUAUCACACAGAAUACCAAUUGCGAAAGCAGAUCACUAACAAUAUACUGACGCUCAGGGACGAAAGCGUGGGUAGCGAACAGGAUUAGAUACCCUGGUAGUCCACGCCGUAACGAUGGAUACUAGCUGUAUGUCUACCUCAGUAGAUGUGUGGCUAAGCGAAAGUGAUAAGUAUCCCACCU